AAAGGCAAGAAGGCUUUAGAACGAAAUACAGCAAGCCGGGUUCUACGAAGGAUUGAAAAUCAGCACGCACAAGGAAGCUUGAUGCAGAUAAACUUACAUUAGGAUCAGAAGGUGAUAGCGAUAAUGCCUUGGAAAAAAAUCCUGACGAGCUACAAGUGCAGCAGGUGCAUAAAGUC